AUGGUGGAUACAAGGAAGCACCUCUCCUAUCCUUUGGUAUAUCGGCUUUUGAAGCUAGCUUUGACUCUUCCUGUUGCCACUGCCACUGUUGAGAGGUUUUCAGCUAUGAAGAUUGUGAAGAAUGCUUUGCGUAACAAAAUUGGUGAUGAUUAUUUGAGCCAUAGCCUAAUUUGCUUUGUGGAAAAGGGACUGCUGGACGAAAUUACUAAUGAAGUGAUUGUUGAUCGUUUUCAUAAGAUGAAAGAUCGUCGUGGGAAGAACGAAAUGUAA
rnacentral:rRNA from 1 species